rnacentral:rRNA from 1 species
GACGAACGCUGGCGGCGCGCUUAACACAUGCAAGUCGAGCGAAGCGGCGGAAGGGUGAGUAACACGUGAGUAACAUGCCUUAGACAUUGGGAUAGCCUCGGGAAACCGGGAUUAAUACCAAAUGGUUGAAGAUUGACUCGCGUCCCAUUAGCUAGUUGGUGAGGUAACGGCACACCAAGGCGACGAUGGGUAGACGGCCUGAGAGGGUGAACGGCCACAUUGGAACUGAGAAACGGUCCAAACUCUACGGGAGGCAGCAGUGGGGAAUAUUGCACAAUGGAGGGAACUCUGAUGCAGCGACGCCGCGUGAACGAAGAAGGCUUUCGAGUCGUAAAGUUCUUUUAUAUGGGAAGCGGUACCAUAAGAAAAAGCCCCGGCUAACUACGUGCCAGCAGCCGCGGUAAUUC